UGCACAGAUCAUUUAUUGAACUGAUGACCACAGCAGAGGCGUGAUCAGCAGCACAGAGCUCCGUAACGGUGGUCACUACGAGGAUCUACAUUCCUGAAGAGAAACGUAUGGCGUACCGGAGGAACAGCUCCAGACGCUACGAGGAGAAAGAGAAGGAGAGAAAAGUAGUUUAGCUGCUCGAGUGCAGGUCAACACAACGUCUGUGAUAAAUGAUACACCGAAAGGUCACAGCUGAUGUGCUGUAAGAUGAUUCAUUUGGAGAAAAGUAGGAUUCUUCAAAUAUAGAACAAUUCUUCCCUCACAUGUAGACAAUGUUAGAAAGUCCAAGUUAACACACUAUGUUUUGUAUAUUUUUCACCUCACUGAGGUACCGGAGGUCAUCCUUGUGUCUCAGGGUCUGUAGGUCUCCUGGACCCUGAAAGACCUCGUAGACAUUGUCUAACGAAUAACAGUCCCUCAGUGACAACCAGGCUGCAUCAUCUGUGGAUGUAUGUAAUAUGUUAUUAAUAUUAUUAUUAUUAUUAUACCAUGAAGGUUUACACAGAAAUACUUGUACCUCUAAUGUUUCCGAUGGCAGACAGUCUGCAUUCGCUCUGCUAGUGUUACCUUCAAAAUGUUAUUAAAUGUAGCCAUAAAUCUACAAAUGGUAAACAUGGUAAAGCAGAACCAUGUACUGUUUAUGUAAUUUAGACAUAAAUUAAUAAAAUUCAUAAAAUGUUAUUGAUAUUUUGCUAAUGUAUUGAGUUCUGCCUAUAUUUUUAUUUGAAUAUAAAACAGUGGUCCACAUGAAGAUACAUUUAAAAUCUUUUACAGCUGUUUGGGUAAAUUAACUACAACAAUAAAAAGAAUAAUAUGUUCAAACAUUGUUAUUAUUCCUAAAUUAACAAUCACCACGAUGCCAAAAGUACUGCAACCCAUUUGUAGGGUUUAUUUAACAGAUUUAAGGAUGUAUUCUUGCAUAGAUGAGUCCAUCAAAGUUCAUUUGAAUAUGUACAAUAAUACAGAAUAUCAGAAAUGUAUUCCAGGAUAAUCAGUGUAAUACAGUGAGAAUAACACUUUAUGUCAAAUCUGAGGGAACUAUGUACUUGUUUUAUAACUUUCCACACAUGCAGGCAGAAAAGGGCUUCACUGAAAACAUUAUGGUCAUAUUUGACCACACUGUCUAAAAUGACAGAUACAUCAGGUUCCUCCUCUGCCCGGCUGCUGUCUUCCAAACCAAAGGUUUCCUCCCUGCUGAGAGAGGAUCUGUCUGCCACAGCAGAAGCUCUGGACAGCAGCUCCUCUGGUGUUUUGGCUGGACUUCCUCCUGCAGCCAGGUCAGCAGGUCUGCUGUGUGGGAGCCGUCCUGGAUGCUAACAGCAGUGUUGCUAAUCAAAGUCUAAUCACCCUUCAGCAUAAAGCAGGCCAGACUAAACUGAACAGAACAAAACCGAACAAAAGAUCCAACAAGACUGAACUGAUGAGGAGAUGAGCUGCAGGUGCAACAGAGAACAGGAAAGGAGCUGAUUGGCUGGGAGGACUCAGGUAGCAGUCGGGGCUAACGAAGCUGAUGCAGGGCAGGUGUGGAGCACAGGAACACAGAAAACACAACAUAACCAUGAACAAACCGUCCCAGAACUCACAUGAACACGACUUAAAUAAAUGCACAACAAGCACAAAUCAAAAUAAACUUUAUUUAAAACUUUAUUACUGUUAAACAGGAAGAAUCAGACUGCAUGUUAAAGCUGCAUGAAACUACUUCAAUCAGACUAAAAGACAAACUGCAGCUCUGAAUAUCAUCACUAGUGUUUCAGUUCACUUUAACGCUCGAUGUAGAGAUCAACAGGAUGUCAGCUGGUCGUUAAAUAUCAUCUGCAGACUCGUCUGUCCUCCGUCUGAACUGACGGAGAGACUUUUUAUUCUGAUUCAUAUUUUAAGUGUCUGA